CAACGAAUAUUCCGCAAUGGGCGAAAGCCUGACGGAGCGACGCCGCGUGAGGGAUGAAGUCCCUUCGGAAUGUAAACUUCAAUAGUACGCCAGGAACCGAUCUUGGCUAAUACCUGAGAAAGUUGACCAGCGUACGAAAGAGGCGGCUAACUCCGUGCCAGCAGCCGCGGUAAUACGGAGGCCUCGAGCGUUGUUCGGAAUCACUGGGCUUAAAGCGCGUGUAGGCGGAACGGUAAGUACUGAGUGAAAGCCCCGGCUUCAAUCCGGGAACUGCUUGGUAUACUGUCGUUCUUGAGGCAGGUAGGGGUCACUGGAACCUUAGGUGGAGCGGUGAAAUGCGUAGAUAUCUAAGGGAACGCCUGUGGCGAAAGCGGGUGACUGGGCCUGUCCUGACGCUGAGACACGAAAGCGUAGGGAGCAAACG
rnacentral:rRNA from 1 species